rnacentral:lncRNA from 10 species
AUGGUGUCCCGCAGCACAGUGUGGUGCUCGCACCUGUCUGCGUUCACCGUGAGUCAUCGCUGCACCUGCAUCUUGUGGCCUUUAUGCGAUAGUGAUCAUAAUGCUGAACGGUCACCAGGUCACGGAAUUCCACCGGGAAUGGGAAGAGCCUCUGGAGCAGCACGCAAAGUCCUGCUAUCUGCAUUCUGUGGUUGGAGUGAGUUGGCACCAUCGUGGCUCACUGGUUCCACACUCCUUGACUCGGUAUUCAGCUCCAAUUUUCGUUCUGUUUAA